CGCUCUCUGUGUAGUGAAUUAAUAGAGAGUCGGACCUGCCCAGUGACGUAGUGUUAAACGGCCGCGGUACUCUGACCGUGCAAAGGUAGCAUAAUCACUUGCCUUUUAAUUGGAGGCUUGUAUGAAUGGUUUGACGAGAGCUAAGCUGUCUCCUUUUUAAUAUUUAGAAAUUAAUUUAUAAGUGAAGAGGCUUAUAUAUAUUUGAGGGACAAGAAGACCCUAUUGAGUUUAAGUAAAACUAAAAGUGAAUUAUUAUGUUUUAAGUAAUAUGUAGUAAAAGUUGUAUAUAUAGAGGUUAUGCUUUUUUUUAAUCUUUAGUUGGGGCGACUGAGGAGCAUGAGAAGCUUCCUUUGAAGUAGGUUAUGACUAGCGAGUUAAUUUGAUCCAAUUUUUAUUGAUUAAAGGAAAAAAUUACCAUAGGGAUAACAGCGUAAUCUUUUUGGAGAGUUCUUAUCGAAAAAAGGGUUUGCGACCUCGAUGUUGGACUAAGAUAUCCCAGAGGUGUAGAAGUUUCUGAGGGUUGGUCUGUUCGACCAUUAAAAUCUU
rnacentral:rRNA from 1 species